GACGAACGCUGGCGGCGUGCUUAACACAUGCAAGUCGAACGGAAAGGCCCUGCUUUUGUGGGGUGCUCGAGUGGCGAACGGGUGGGUAACACGUGAGUAACCUGCCCUUGACUUUGGGAUAACUUCAGGAAACUGGGGCUAAUACCGGAUAGGAGCUCCUGCUGCAUGGUGGGGGUUGGAAAGUUUCGGCGGUUGGGGAUGGACUCGCGGGUUAUCAGCUUGUUGGUGGGGUAGUGGCUUACCAAGGCUUUGACGGGUAGCCGGCCUGAGAGGGUGACCGGCCACAUUGGGACUGAGAUACGGCCCAGACUCCUACGGGAGGCAGCAGUGGGGAAUAUUGCACAAUGGGCGGAAGCCUGAUGCAGCAACGCCGCGUGCGGGAUGACGGCCUUCGGGUUGUAAACCGCUUUCGCCUGUGACGAAGCGUGAGUGACGGUAAUGGGUAAAGAAGCACCGGCUAACUACGUG
rnacentral:rRNA from 1 species